rnacentral:lncRNA from 1 species
UCGAAGCAAUAGGCCUCAGCCAGUAAGAAACAUAAUCAGCGAGUAUCCAAUCCACUGUGCUGGAUUCCAAGAAACGAGUCAUAGGUUCUUGAAGAAGAUCGUACGCGAGUUUCAGGUACUUGACCUUGUGGAAUGGAACCUCAGUUGUGGACUCUGCAUUUUCGGGUAAGUUGGGUACUAAUGGCAGUGGAAUCUUGACAAGAUUUAUCAAAGGAGCCAGAUUCUGAGGGAUUUUUGGGAGGCUAUCGAUAAUUUUGGGAGUGGAAACAAAAGAGAUCUUGUGACCCUUUGCAGCCAUGAGCUUGGCUAGCUUCCAGUAGGGAGAUAUGUGACCAAAGGCUAACCAAGGGAACAUUACUAUGUGCAAUUUCUCAACAGAAGCCAUAUUGUAAGCUGAAAGCUGAAAGCUUUGUUUUCUGCUUGGCAAGAUUAAUGUAUUAAUAUGAACUAUAUAGAGAGGGCAGGCACAUGUCUGGUCAAAGGUAUCACCCUACGUGAUGUCAACCGUGACAUUCACAUUUCUGGUCCCAGAAAUUGCAUCACAGACGCGAUCUUUUAAAUUAUAGGGUCGGUUUGUUUCUAAGAAGUAGAAGCUGCUUCUGGAUUCUACUUUUAUUUUGACCCCUUUGCGUAAAAGAGUAAAAACACUUUUAAGAAGCCGAGAAUGCUAACUUCUCUGUCAGAGUUUUGAUUCUUUUCCCAACACUUUAUUAAGUUAUUUAUUUCUCACUUUUAAUCUACUUCUUUACUUUAAGGAAUAAAUCAUUUUUUUAAGUUUGCCCAAACGGCCUCAUGGAAUUAUGUUAAGUACCCCUUUCCUUCAUGUAACUCAUCAUCUUAGGUUGGUUGAAGAGAAAGAAUUUGUUUUUACAUUUUGGGUAAUGAGAAGUACAAAGUUUAUACAAGCUCCCCAGAAUUGUUUUGAGGACGAGCUAUGCUCAUUUCAUGUUUUUCAUGCCUUCACACUUCUGCUUCAGAAAAGAUACCUCUCCAUGGAAGGUGUGCAUUACUACUUAGCAGAAUAUACGUUCGAAUUUUCUCUGGAGACCAAGAAUUAUUCCAAUUUUUUUUUAAUAGUAAAUAUUUUUCUCACUUUCAUUAUUAUCUUAACUUUUAUUUGGACAAUUAUUUUUGGGUACUUGGUUUCCCUGACCAAACAAACAUAAGAAAAAAAAUCUGAUUUCGAGCGUGCUUUUAUUUUUAUUUUUGCUUGUAAAUAAACAUUUAAUUUGAAUAUUGUCUAAAUUAAAAGUGGAAAAGCACUAGUGAGUAUAACUAUCUCUCUUUCAUAAAUCAAAAUGCAUGUUAGAAAAAAUAGCAAAGUAUAGCUACUAAAAUGAUAGGAUAAGUAUAAGUUGAUCGUCUGCAGAAAAUAAUUUGUUGUGGACGGCGUACUAUAAAUUCACAGAUGUAAAAAUUAGGUGGCUGCAGUAUGCAAAACAAUAAUCAGUUUUGUGCUGGCACACAAUGCAGUUGUAUACUUGUAUGUCAUCACAAGAUAACUACUAUAAAAUCUAAGAUGAGGGGAGAUGCAUCAUGCAUGAGAUGAGCAAGUGAUCAAAUAUGAUAGAGUUAUUAUGCCGUAUAUAGUUGGACAUGUUAAGUUGUUUGUAGUUGGAAAAAAUAGAAAUGAUAAUGAUUUUUGGGUCUUAAAUUUGUGUAUAUAUAGCAUAUAAAAAACAGAGGGAUGAAGGAACUAUAAUACGAAAAGAUUUUUUCAUUUAAUUUUGAAUUCUACCAACACACAAUAAAUUUCAUGGUACGUUGGACGUUGUCAAUAUGGUUGUUUCCUGGUUGCUUAAUUUCAUAUCGGGUUGAUACUCCAUUUGCCAUUGUACUGGACCAAAACUUUCAGUUGGCCUACCAAGUCAAAAAAGUUUUCAUUUAAAUAAUAAAGCGUCUAAAAACUUACAAUCACAUAAUUAAUCUUAAGAAAUAUUUCAGCGCCGUUAGCCAUAUCUUUGACUUUAACGGAAAACAUUAAAUUGCAUAAAAUUUUCAGAUUUGCAUGUAUAAAUUAGGGUUCUUAAGGUUAAUUUGAGUCUGGAUGAUUGAGAAAAGGGGUCGGAGGUUGAAUAGGUUCUGGCGACUGUUUUUGCUUAUACAGUUCAGUAGGUUUUAGAAGAGCUGGGGAAUGGAUUUAUCCUUUAUGCAUGCCCAGUAGAAAAUCUUUUGAGCGUGCAGGUAUAGAGCAAGUGUUUCUUCUACCUUAAAACCAAUAAAUUUCAAAUUUGUACGGACAAGCAAAUGGCCUGUCUGAUUUUGUGUCUGGUUAGCAAAGAUAAGAAGAGUGAUAGUAUAGCAUGUAGUGUUGUAAAUGGUAACCAGAAGGCAUCAUCUAAGCUCCAUGUCUCUCAAGAUACAGAGAAAUGGCUCAUGAAAGUAAAGGAAGCUUAUGAUCUGUAAAAUAAUAUUCACAAUUGAAGAAAGCUUAUGAUCUGUAAAAUAAUAUUACAUAUGUACGUCUUGAGCUUUGCUUUCUUCUGUUUAACUUGUGCUUCAUGAUUGGUAUAAAAUAUGUAUGUGCUCACUGUGUUGAAUGGUUUUAGAUGCGGAUCUUAAUACUUUACUUAAAAUCACAUACAACAUCUUUAAGGAUUCGAAUAAUUUUAAAUUACAAACUGUAUGCACAAUUUUAAUGAUCCAGAUCAUGUAUAUAGUGUCUUGCUCAUAUUGUUACUGAUCCUGUGCCUAUCUUAUUAACAAUGCUCCUGUUAAAUAGAUUGGUUUGCCCAUUUUAUGGUGUAUACAAUUGUUUUCCAUGUUUCCAACGUAACGUCUAAAUGUUUACAUGCUUCCAGAUCAAGAUCAUAUGAAUCAACAACACAGUUUUGGGUUGGGGGGGGGGGGGGGGGGGGGGGGGGGGGGGGGAAGUGGAGUGGAGAGAUUGCUUGUAAAGUUGUCUUUACUCGGUAGGACAACUGAAAAUUUUGAUCGAAAAUAGUGAUGAAACAGAACAUUAACACGUUAAGUAUUUAACGGAGGCUAACAGAAUGACUUUUUUGCAAGUUGUAAAUAGUACAAUUAGUUGACUGAAAGCUUUUUUCACUCGGUAGGCUAACUGAAAAUUUUAAUGCAGUGCAGUGAUGAAAUAAAGCAUUAACCACUUUCAUAUCCACUGACAUUCGUCGAAGUGUUGCAUAUAUAUAUAUAUAUUUUUUCUUUAGAAGUGUUGCAUAUUUGUCUACUCUACUGCACAACAAAUUUGGGAUGAUUUGACUGUUGGUUUUUCUCAAACGAACUCUGCCUCGUGUUUUUUACUAAUUACGUAAGACAUUGCCUCUAUUUAUCAACACACUUUAUCCGUGAUUGCAUGCAUUCACCAAAUAUAGAACUCUUGUGACUGAACCGACAAUUUGGCCCCUCUUCAUAAUUGUGUGUGCAUCUACCAAACUGAGGUUGCAAAAAUAUGAAAACUGAUGGACGAUGAAAACUUGCUCAAUAUGCUGUAACGUAUCACGGCCAUCACCUCAAAGUUUUUGGCUAUUGUCCCUUCCUCCCCUCAUCUUGCUCUUGCUCUCUCCUUUUAUAAUAUGAUGGAGAUGAGUCACCAUCUGAAGUUUCGGGAAUGGAGGACAAGUGUCUCCUUUGUAGAGGUAGAGUAGGUGACGAGGAAAGGCUAGGAUUACAUGUGGCGGGUUUUCCAGAAAAUCUGGAAUGGCUAACAGGAAGCAGGUGAUGGAGCAGGCAGGUGAUGGAGAGGUGACGUGGCUGCCGUAGAGAAGGGGCUACGGUCUCGCCGUAGAGAGUUGCAGCCCGUAAGAGAUGUUGUGCCCCGUAGGAGAUGUUGUGCCAUCAUUCAGACUUGUUUAUAAGGUUCAUGGCUCUGCUAAUAUCAUCCACUGUAUCUCUUGUUCAUGUUCUUGAUAACUAGACAGAGAUCAUCCUCGUAACCCUACGGAUGAUCCCGCAAGGGUGGUGAAGCUCCAUAGAUAUAAGUUUCAGGGGUGGCUUACAGAGUUGCAGUCUUGCCGUAGGCAGUAGAAAAAACGAAUGCAUAGCCGUAGUUUAGUUUACAGGUUUUUUAGCUAUCAAUGAUAUUAAAAUGUGUGCCGAACCCUCGGUCUCAUACAACUCACACCGGGACCAAGGUCGUACAUACGAAAGAAAAAACAAGUGAACCGAAUUAAAAGACAAGCAAUGAAAUACAGUGAUCCCUGGGUUGAGCCACCAGGAAAACAUUACACAGAGUGACUUAAUUUUUCGAAAACUUGUGGUUCUGCAGAUAAUUCAGCAGGUUAUCGACGUAACCGUUUUGCUUAUCCAUGUCACACAGGAUAGCUUGCAUGUCCUUCACAUUGUCUCGAUAGAUCUUCCCUUCUUCAUCGAGCAUUACCAAGUUAACUGACUCCGCCACUGAUUCCCUAGUAAACCCACCGUCUGACUCAUCUCGCGGAAUUUGAAACCCCAGCUUCUUCUCCUCCAGCUGCUUAGCAAUAAUUCCUUGAUCAUACACACAUGGCAACAAAAUAAGCGCCUUUCCAAACUGCAUUGCCUCUACUACUGAGCUGUAACCUGAUGAAUUCAGCAAGGCACUAACCGAUUCGUGAUCUAAUAUCUUAGUCUGAGGCACCCAAGUGGUGUAAAUCAUCCCACGCCCUCGUGUUCGGUCUUGAAACCCUUCUGGCAACUCAACUGGCUCUGUAUCAGACAAGCCUCUUUGUUUUUUCAUAGCCCAAAAGAAUGGUAACCCGGUCAGCUCCAAACCAAGCGCUAACUCUGUGGUCUGAGCUUGAGUCAAUUUGGCCUCGGACCCAAAAGCUACAAAUAGUACGCUUCCCUUUGCUUGUUUGUCGAGCCAAUCUUUGAUCUCACUCCAAUCUUCAUUGUCAUCCUCUUUGCUCUCUUCAACAUCAGGCAACAAGCCCACUGGAAUCACCGGUUUCUCGUACAUGUCCUGUAGUAAUUUUAACCAAUCCCCUUCAAAUUCGACGCUGCUUCUUAUUGCCACCAUAUCAAAAUAUUCGAGACUCCUCCCAACACGAUAAGCCUCGCUCACAUUUCCCGUCUCCUCAUCAGUUUCAUAACCAGCAGCCAGGGCUAGACUCUGAUACAGAGACAUUGCGACAUUUGUGUCGAAGUGAACCCACUCAGGUUUAACCGUGAAAUCUUCUGGCUUCACGCGGUAACCAUCGCCCUUGAUCAAGUUAGAAGGGGGGCCUAAAAAUCCCAUGAAGGAAGCAGUGAAAAUAUUGUAGGGACACCAUCGAAUGCGGAGUCUCGAAGCAAUAGGCCUCAGCCAGUAAGAAACAUAAUCAGCGAGUAUCCAAUCCGCUGUGCUGGAUUCCAAGAAACGAGUAAUAGGUUCUUGAAGAAGAUCGUACAUGAGUUUCAGGUACUUGACCUUGUGGAAUGGAACCUCAGUUGUGGACUCUGCAUUUUCGGGUAAGUUGGGAACUAAUGGCAGUGGCAUCUUGACAAGAUUUAUGAAAGGAGCUAGAUUCUGAGG